GGGAUCAUGGCUCAGUGGUAGAGCACUUGCCUAGCAUGUGUGAGGCCCUGGGUUCAAUCCUCAGUACCA
rnacentral:tRNA from 1 species